AUUUCAGUCUAAGUAGGUCCCAUGCAAUAUUUGGGACAUACUUAAGCUAAAA
rnacentral:pre_miRNA from 1 species